GAUGAACGCCAGCGGCAGGCCUAACACAUGCAAGUCGAGGGGUAGCAGGAUUAAGCUUGCUUAAUUGCUGACGACCGGCGCACGGGUGCGUAACGCGUAUGCAACCUACCUUAUACUGGGGUAUAGCCCGGAGAAAUUCGGAUUAAGCCCCCAUAGUACUAAUGAAUCGCAGGGUUUAUUAGUUAAAGCAUUGCAGUAUAAGAUAGGCAUGCGUCCUAUUAGCUAGAUGGUGAGGUAACGGCGUACCAUGGCUACGAUAGGUAGGGGGCCUGAGAGGGUGGUCCCCCACACUGGUACUGAGACACGGACCAGACUCCUACGGGAGGCAGCAGUGAGGAAUAUUGGUCAAUGGGCGCAAGCCUGAACCAGCCAUGCCGCGUGCAGGAAGAGUGCCCUAUGGGUUGUAAACUGCUUUUAUUUGGGAAUAAACCUCUUUACGUGUAGAGAGCUGAAGGUACCAAAUGAAUAAGCACCGGCUAACUCCGUGCCAGCCGCCGCAGUAA
rnacentral:rRNA from 1 species